GACGAACGCUGGCGGCGUGCUUAACACAUGCAAGUCGAGCGGUAAGGCCCUUUCGGGGGUACACGAGCGGCGAACGGGUGAGUAACACGUGGGUGACCUGCCCUCAGCUCUGGGAUAAGCCUGGGAAACCGGGUCUAAUACUGGAUAUGACUCCAUGACGCAUGUUGUGGGGUGGAAAGCCUUGUGCGGCUGAGGAUGGGCCCGCGGCCUAUCAGCUUGUUGGUGGGGUGAUGGCCUACCAAGGCGACGACGGGUAGCCGGCCUGAGAGGGCGACCGGCCACACUGGGACUGAGACACGGCCCAGACUCCUACGGGAGGCAGCAGUGGGGAAUCUUGCGCAAUGGGCGAAAGCCUGACGCAGCGACGCCGCGUGAGGGAUGACGGCCUGGUU
rnacentral:rRNA from 1 species